rnacentral:misc_RNA from 1 species
UUCAUACAUCUCAUUCCAUGCCUGCACUAUCUCGUCAAUAUUGAAUCCCAGCCCUUCUGUCGCUGUACUGUUGGAACAAUGAUUCUUUAUCAUAACAGCAAUAUCUGUUGGAGAAGCUCCGGCCAAUUCAAAUUUUUCAACAGCAACCUCCAAAGAUUCUUGCCAGAGUGGAAGCCCAAGUUUGAACUCCAUAAGUGAUCGUUCGUAUAGCAUGGUACCCCAUAGUAAAUUUAUCUGAGACAUCAUGUUUGCAGCUUGCUCAGAAGCUUCAUCUGCAGAUAUUCCUUUAAACAAAUUCUCUGACUUCAUCUUCUGCAAUUUGUUGGUACUUGAUAGUUCGUUCAGACGCUGUUCCUCUGCCUCCUCCCACAUCUGCAUACCUCUUUCCAUAUUUUCCUCAGCACUGUUGUAAAGCUGCAGAACCUCAGUAGAAGGCCAAGAAUCCAGAUUGACACCAGUGCUAAUCGUAUAAUACCAAGAAAGUUUUGCCUG